rnacentral:rRNA from 1 species
AGAGUUUGAUCCUGGCUCAGGAUGAACGCUGGCGGCGUGCUUAAUACAUGCAAGUCGAACGGAGCCGCAAGGCUUAGUGGCGACCGGGUGCGUAACACGUAGCUGACCUGCCCCUCAGCGGGGGACAACAGUUCGAAAGGACUGCUAAUACCGCAUGAUUUUGGAGGAAAUAGCAUACUCCAAAUAAACUUACGGGGCUG